rnacentral:rRNA from 1 species
CUACGGGAGGCACCAGUGGGGAAUAUUGCACAAUGGGCGCAAGCCUGAUGCAGCCAUGCCGCGUGUAUGAAGAAGGCCUUCGGGUUGUAAAGUACUUUCAGCGGGGAGGAAGGGAGUAAAGUUAAUACCUUUGCUCAUUGACGUUACCCGCAGAAGAAGCACCGGCUAACUCCGUGCCAGCAGCCGCGGUAAUACGGAGGGUGCAAGCGUUAAUCGGAAUUACUGGGCGUAAAGCGCACGCAGGCGGUUUGUUAAGUCAGAUGUGAAAUCCCCGGGCUCAACCUGGGAACUGCAUCUGAUACUGGCAAGCUUGAGUCUCGUAGAGGGGGGUAGAAUUCCAGGUGUAGCGGUGAAAUGCGUAGAGAUCUGGAGGAAUACCGGUGGCGAAGGCGGCCCCCUGGACGAAGACUGACGCUCAGGUGCGAAAGCGUGGGGAGCAAACAGGAUUAGAUACCCGUGUAGUC